UACGUAGGCAGCGAGCGUUGUUCGGAGUUACUGGGCGUAAAGGGUGCGUAGGCGGUUGUUUAAGUUUGGUGUGAAAUCUCCCGGCUCAACUGGGAGGGUGCGCCGAAUACUGAAUGACUAGAGUGCGGGAGAGGAGAGUGGAAUUCCUGGUGUAGCGGUGAAAUGCGUAGAUAUCAGGAGGAACACCUGUGGCGAAGGCAGCUCGCUGGGACGUUACUGACGCUGAGACGCGAAAGCGUGGGGAGCAAACAGG
rnacentral:rRNA from 1 species